rnacentral:rRNA from 1 species
ACUCCUACGGGAGGCAGCAGUGGGGAAUAUUGCACAAUGGGGGAAACCCUGAUGCAGCCAUGCCGCGUGUGUGAAGAAGGCCUUCGGGUUGUAAAGUACUUUCAGCAGUGAGGAAGGUGAUAUGUUAAUAGCANAUUCAUUUGACGUUUAGCUGCAGAAGAAGCGACCGCUAACUCCGUGCCAGCAGCCGCGGUAAUACGGAGGGGACUAGCGUUGUUCGGAUUUACUGGGCGUAAAGGGUGCGUAGGCGGUGUAUUAAGUUAGAAGUGAAAGCCUGGGGCUUUAACCCUAGAACUGCUUCUAAAACUAAUACGCUAGAGUAUGGGAGAGGAUAGUGGAAUUCCUAGUGUAGAGGUGAAAUUCUUAGAUAUUAGGAGGAACACCGGUGGCGAAAAGCGA